GCCUUCGUGGUGUAGUGGUCAGCACACUCGGCGCAUAACCGAAAGGUCCGUGGUUCGAUUCCUGGCGAAGGCC
rnacentral:tRNA from 1 species